rnacentral:tRNA from 1 species
CAUUAGAUGGCUGAAAGCAAGCACUGGUCUCUUAAACCAAAAUAUAGUAAAUUAGCAUCUACUUCUAAUGA